UGGGGAACAUUGCACAAUGGGCGAAAGCCUGAUGCAGCAACGCCGCGUGAGUGAUGAAGGUCUUCGGAUUGUAAAGCUCUGUCUUUUGGGACGAUAAUGACGGUACCAAAGGAGGAAGCCACGGCUAACUACGUGCCAGCAGCCGCGGUAAUACGUAGGUGGCGAGCGUUGUCCGGAUUUACUGGGCGUAAAGGGUGCGUAGGCGGAUGUUUAAGUGAGAUGUGAAAUACCCGGGCUUAACUUGGGUGCUGCAUUUCAAACUGGAUAUCUAGAGUGCAGGAGAGGAGAAUGGAAUUCCUAGUGUAGCGGUGAAAUGCGUAGAGAUUAGGAAGAACACCAGUGGCGAAGGCGAUUCUCUGGACUGUAACUGACGCUGAGGCACGAAAGCGUGGGUAGCAAACAGGAUUAGAUACCCUGGUAGUCCACGCCGUAAACGAUGAGUACUAGGUGUAGGAGGUAUCGACCCCCUCUGUGCCGCAGUAAACACAUUAAGUACUCCGCCUGGGAAGUACGAUCGCAAGAUUAAAACUCUAAAGUGAAUUGAC
rnacentral:rRNA from 1 species